rnacentral:tRNA from 1 species
UCCAAAUUGGUUUAAUGGUUAGAAUACCCGGCUCUCAUGAGAAAAUCUCAAGUGGACCCGGGAGAUCCGGGUUCAAUCCCCGGGUUUGGAU